CGAGGGGCAGCGGGGGCGAAGCUUGCUUCGCCUGCCGGCGACCGGCGCACGGGUGAGUAACACGUAUGCGACCUGCCCCCCGCAGGGGGAUAACCGGGAGAAAUCCCGACUAAUACCGCGUAACGCCGCGGGGCUGCAUGGCCCCGCGGCCAAAGGAAGCGAUUCCGGCGGGGGAUGGGCAUGCGGCGCAUUAGCUAGUCGGCGGGGUAACGGCCCACCGAGGCGACGAUGCGUAGGGGUUCUGAGAGGAAGGUCCCCCACACUGGUACUGAGACACGGACCAGACUCCUACGGGAGGCAGCAGUGAGGAAUAUUGGUCAAUGGGCGGGAGCCUGAACCAGCCAAGUCGCGUGAGGGAAGACGGUCCUACGGAUUGUAAACCUCUUUUGCCGGGGAGCAACGGGGUCCUUGCGAGGGCCCAAUGAGAGUACCCGGAGAAAAAGCAUCGGCUAACUCCGUGCCAGCAGCCGCGGUAAUACGGAGGAUGCGAGCGUUAUCCGGAUUUAUUGGGUUUAAAGGGUGCGUAGGCGGGCUGUUAAGUCAGCGGUCAAAUGUCGGGGCUCAACCCCGGCCUGCCGUUGAAACUGGCGGCCUCGAGUGGGCGAGAAGUAUGCGGAAUGCGUGGUGUAGCGGUGAAAUGCAUAGAUAUCACGCAGAACUCCGAUUGCGAAGGCAGCAUACCGGCGCCCGACUGACGCUGAGGCACGAAAGCGUGGGUAUCGAACAGGAUUAGAUACCCUGGUAGUCCACGCAGUAAACGAUGAAUGCUAGCUGUCCGGGGCUUCGGCUCUGGGUGGCACAGCGAAAGCGUUAAGCAU
rnacentral:rRNA from 1 species